rnacentral:tRNA from 1 species
AGGAAUGUAGCUCAGUUGGUUAGAGCGUCUGCCCGACACGCAGAAGGCCGGCGGUUCGAAUCCGCCCAUUCCUACCA